rnacentral:rRNA from 1 species
UCCGGGGACCGAGUAGAGUGGCGUCCGGGUGAGUAACACGUGGGUAAUUUGCCUUCGGGUGGGGAAUAACACCUCGAAAGAGGUGCUAAUACCGCAUAAUGCAGCGGCACCUUAUGGUGACAGUUGUUAAAGCGGGGGAUCGCAAGACCUCGCGCCUGAAGAGAAGCCCGCGGCGGAUUAGCUAGUUGGUGGGGUAAUGGCCCACCAAGGCAACGAUCCGUAGCCGGCCUGAGAGGGCGGUCGGCCACACUGACACUGACACACGGGUCAGACUCCUACGGGAGGCAGCAGUCGGGAAUUUUGGGCAAUGGGCGAAAGCCUGACCCAGCAACGCCGCGUGAAGGAUGAAGUUUCUCGGAAUGUAAACUUCACAAGAAUGGGAAGAAUAAGUGAGGGAUAAUACCCCUUACGAUGACGGUACCAUUUGUAAGCUCCGGCUAACUCCGUGCCAGCAGCCGCGGUAAUACGGGGGGAGCAAGCGUUGUUCGGAUUUACUGGGCGUAAAGGGCGCGUAGGCGGCGUGACAAGUCACUUGUGAAAUCUCCGGGCUUAACUCGGAGCGGCCAAGUGAUACUGUCGUGCUAGAGUGCGGAAGGGGCAAUCGGAAUUCUUGGUGUAGCGGUGAAAUGCGUAGAUAUCAAGAGGAACACCUGAGGUGAAGACGGGUUGCUGGGCUGACACUGACGCUGAGGCGCGAAAGCCAGGGGGAGCAACGGGAUUAGAUACCCCGGUAGUC